rnacentral:rRNA from 1 species
AGCUCCAAUAGCGUAUAUUAUUGAUGUUGCAGUUAAAAUGUUCGUAGUCGACCCUUAUCCACUCAGGCGGUGCUGCAGUCUAUCUGUUCGCUGCCCUUUGUGGAGAUCGUGCAAACAGCAUCACACGUUAGUGGGUUGCUUUUGCAUUCUACUUUGAGUGAAUCGGCGUGUUCCACGCAGGCAAGUGCCUUGAACGAUUUACCAUAGGAUAGGGAGAGUAUGAAAUCGCUUUCUUGUUUGUUCGGAAGCGUUUUCUAUACUGAUAAGGACGGUUGAUGGCAUUCGUAUUCAACUGCAAGAGGUGAAAUUCUUUGAUUAGUUGAGGACGAACAACUGCGAAAGCAUCUGCCAAGGACGUUCCUG